rnacentral:rRNA from 1 species
UACAGAGGGGGCAAGCGUUGUUCGGAAUUACUGGGCGUAAAGGGCGCGUAGGCGGCCUGUUAAGUCGAACGUGAAAUCCCUGGGCUCAACCCAGGAACUGCGUCCGAUACUGGCAGGCUUGAAUCCGGGAGGGGGAUGCGGAAUUCCAGGUGUAGCGGUGAAAUGCGUAGAUAUCUGGAGGAACACCGGUGGCGAAGGCGGCAUCCUGGACCGGCAUUGACGCUGAGGCGCGAAAGCGUGGGGAGCAAACAGG